UACGUAGGGUGCAAGCGUUGUCCGGAAUUAUUGGGCGUAAAGAGCUCGUAGGCGGUGUGUCACGUCGAUCGUGAAACCUUGGGGCUUAACUCUGAGCUUGCGGUCGAUACGGGCAUCACUGGAGUUCGGCAGGGGAGACUGGAAUUCCUGGUGUAGCGGUGAAAUGCGCAGAUAUCAGGAGGAACACCGGUGGCGAAGGCGGGUCUCUGGGCCGAUACUGACGCUGAGGAGCGAAAGCGUGGGGAGCGAACAGG
rnacentral:rRNA from 1 species